CAGUGGUGUGACUGAUCCUUUAACCUGUAGUGUGUUGGUUAUUCAUAGCUAGGCUACAUAGUUUGACUGCACAUUUCUUUGGUCCUUAGCCAUAUGGGUCCUUGCUGUAUCACUAUGUUGGCUAUGUAGGUUCAGAUUCACUGUUUGGAGUAGGAUGUACCUAGACGGCUAUUGAUCUUGAUAAAAAAAGAGAAGUCCUAUGUGAUUCAUAAGACUGAGUUUAAAAAAUCUCUGGCCAGAGUAAAUGUGAAUACUGAAAAAGAGUUUUUACAGGAUUCACAAAUGAACUU
rnacentral:lncRNA from 1 species